AAUCUUGCGCAAUGGGCGAAAGCCUGACGCAGCGACGCCGCGUGAGUGAUGAAGGUCUUCGGAUCGUAAAGCUCUUUCGUCCGGGAAGAACGGUCCUGUGGCUAAUACCCAUGGGGAUUGACGGUACCGGAAGAAGAAGCACCGGCUAACUCUGUGCCAGCAGCCGCGGUAAUACAGAGGGUGCAAGCGUGGUUCGGAAUUAAUGGGCGUAAAGAGCGCGCAGGCGAGAUGGCAAGUCGGAUGUGAAAGCCCUCGGCUCAACCGAGGAAGUGCAUUCGAAACUGCCGUUCUUGAGUGUCGGAGAGGGUGGUGGAAUUCCCGGUGUAGAGGUGAAAUUCGUAGAUAUCGGGAGGAACACCAGUGGCGAAGGCGACCACCUGGACGAACACUGACGCUGAGGCGCGAAAGCGUGGGGAGCAAAC
rnacentral:rRNA from 1 species